rnacentral:tRNA from 1 species
AUCUGGGUAGCUCAGUGGUCUAGAGCAAUUGCCCGGAAAGCGAAAGACUCGGGUUCGAUUCCCGAUCCAGCCA